rnacentral:lncRNA from 10 species
CGCCGAGAGAGAGCGAGGGCUGUGAGGACUGCCAGCAGGCUGUCACCUCUCACUUCUGGGCUACAAACAUGGACAGCAUGUACUGAGGACUGGAGGCAACUGUAAUGCAACGUUACUGCUGAAAGCAUCCUGAGUGACACAAACUUGAAGCAUGCAAGAGGACUAAAUAACUUCCAAAGUCACACAUAUUGCAUGUCAAGAGCCAGCUUCAAACUCAAGUCCCUGUGACCAGAGGUCGAUGCUCUAAACACAUUUCUGCAUGACCUGCUUGUGGCAGCCUGGAGAAAUUCUACAUAAAUCUUCUCAGAUUCCAGAGGCUGCGAGGUCUGAGAUCAAGGAUCUGACACCUGGUGAGGGCCUUUUUGCUGCAUCAUUUCACAUAGAGACAAAAAGAUUCUCACCUGUAAGCUUGAAUUAUGUCUACAUCAUGCUUGGGAAAUGUCCAUAUAUUCUAAGCUUGAAACUGCAGUGAUGAGGACGUCACCACUUCCAGAGAGAACACUUUACUACCAGGCAACUUGAGUACAAUAGGCAGCCACAAAUAUCAUCCUUGCUAGCCAGGAAUGACAAGGAGCAAGCCACAUGAGGAGUCAGAAAAGAUUAUUCCAGGCAGGGCUGAGAUCUGCAUUAUGGUCUGGAGGCUGCCCCAGUCUCUCCUUUACCUCCAUAUUUUUCUCACAGGACUUUUCUUCAUCAUGUGAAGAAGCCAACACAGACAUCAACUCUUGCAGAAAUAUUUACAUUCCAGGAUGGGUGGAAUAUUCAUCCUCUAAGACACUCUCCUUACUGCUCAUUUCACUUCUGGGUACAGUAAAUAUCAUUAUUUUUUGGUUUUUUAAUAUAUCUGUCUCAUAAUAUUGUUCAUUCUUAAAGGAUAACAACCAUAUCUUGUCCAUCUUCAUAACCUUGAAGAAUAUUAUAGUACUUUGUUAAUAGAUAACAUUCAAUAAAUAUUUGUGGAAGAAAUUUAAUGAUUGGAUAAUUAUAGUCAAAUAUAUUGAGAAGAAACAGGGUAAAGAUAUUGAUUAA